rnacentral:tRNA from 1 species
GGGCCGGUAGCUCAAAGGCAGAGCGCCCGGCAGAUAACCGGGAACAUGCCGGUUCGAAUCCGGCCCGGCCUG